rnacentral:tRNA from 1 species
AGCUCAGUUGGUUAGAAUGCCUGCCUGUCACGCAGGAGGUCGCGGGUUCGAGUCCCGUCCAGA